GACAGAGGAUGCAAGCGUUAUCCGGAAUGAUUGGGCGUAAAGCGUCUGUAGGUGGCUUUUUAAGUCUGCCGUCAAAUCCCAGGGCUUAACCCUGGACAGGCGGUGGAAACUACCAAGCUGGAGUACGGUAGGGGCAGGAGGAAUUUCCGGUGGAGCGGUGAAAUGCGUAGAGAUCGGAAAGAACACCAACGGCGAAAGCACUCUGCUGGGCCGACACUGACACUGAGAGACGAAAGCUAGGGGAGCGAAUGGG
rnacentral:rRNA from 1 species